rnacentral:rRNA from 1 species
CCUACGGGUGGCUGCAGUGAGGAAUAUUGGUCAAUGGGAGAGAUCCUGAACCAGCCAAGCCGCGUGAGGGAAGACGGCCCUAUGGGUUGUAAACCUCUUUUGUCGGAGAACAAAACCCGGGACGAGUCCCGGACUGCGUGUAUCCGAAGAAAAAGCAUCGGCUAACUCCGUGCCAGCAGCCGCGGUAAUACGGAGAAUCCGAGCGUUAUCCGGAUUUAUUGGGUUUAAAGGGUGCGUAGGCGGCCUUUUAAGUCAGCGGUGAAAGUCUGUGGCUCAACCAUAGAAUUGCCGUUGAAACUGGGAGGCUUGAGUAUGUUUGAGGCAGGCGGAAUGCGUGGUGUAGCGGUGAAAUGCUUAGAUAUCACGCAGAACCCCGAUUGCGAAGGCAGCCUGCCAAGCCAUGACUGACGCUGAUGCACGAAAGCGUGGGGAUCAAACAGGAUUAGAUACCCUUGUAGUC